rnacentral:misc_RNA from 1 species
AAAACAUUUCCCGUCUCCUUCGCUGGCUGCUAUCUAAUGUCGGCGACUUGUAUAAAGCUCAGCUCAGUCCCGCUUCCUUCCCUGUUCCAUCCGCCCUUUUCUCUCUAAAAGCUCCACCCUUUUAUCUAUAUGCUUCACAAUCACAUUUCAACUCCCCAAACUCUGCCUUCAUCCUUCUUUCCUUAUCCAUCUAACAGAGACGUAGCCACCGGUCCUUGCAUUUCCCGGUGACCAUGUCACAGUCACUUCAUUUCUUCACUCCAACAACUUGCUCCCCAAACUUUACUUUCCCUAAACCCUCUCUCCCAGCCUCCAAUUGCCUGUUCUCGAUCACUUUCUGGCCCAAAUCUAUCUCCGUCAAGGCAUCAGCUUCAUCAGACUCUAACUCUGCCCCAUCAUCUCAAGUCUUCGUUUCCAAUAAUGGCACAGGAGGAGGCGUGUUGGUGCCGGAGUAUAGUUCCUUGGCAGUGGCUGAUGUGAGUUCGAUCGAAGUGGAUGCGGUGACGGAGGCGGAAUUGAAGGAGAACGGAUUUAGGAGCACGAGGAGGACCAAGCUCGUUUGCACGAUAGGUCCGGCCACAUGCGGCUUCGAGCAGCUGGAGGCGCUAGCGGUUGGAGGCAUGAACGUGGCGAGGAUUAAUAUGUGUCACG